rnacentral:rRNA from 1 species
GUGGGGGAUAACGUAGCGAAAGUUACGCUAAUACCGCAUAUUCUGUGCGCAGGAAAGCAGGGGAUCGCAAGACCUUGCGCUGAUUGAGCGGCCGAUAUCAGAUUAGCUAGUUGGUGGGGUAAAAGCUCACCAAGGCGACGAUCUGUAGCGGGUCUGAGAGGAUGAUCCGCCACACUGGAACUGAGACACGGUCCAGACUCCUACGGGAGGCAGCAGUGGGGAAUUUUGGACAAUGGGGGCAACCCUGAUCCAGCCAUGCCGCGUGAGUGAAGAAGGCCUUCGGGUUGUAAAGCUCUUUCGGCCGGGAAAAAAUCGCAUGGGUUAAUACCCUGUGUGGAUGAUGGUACCGGAAUAAGAAGCACCGGCUAACUACGUGCCAGCAGCCGCGGUAAUACGUAGGGUGCGUGCGUUAAUCGGAAUUACUGGGCGUAAAGCGUGCGCAGGCGGUUUUGUAAGACAGGCGUGAAAUCCCCGGGCUCAACCUGGGAACUGCGCUUGUGACUGCAAGGCUAGAGUAUGGCAGAGGGGGGUGGAAUUCCACGUGUAGCAGUGAAAUGCGUAGAGAUGUGGAGGAACACCAAUGGCGAAGGCAGCCCCCUGGGCCAAUACUGACGCUCAUGCACGAAAGCGUGGGUAGCAAACAGGAUUAGAUACCCUGGUAGUCCACGCCCUAAACGAUGUCAACUAGGUGUUGGGAGGGUAAAACCUUUUAGUACCGGAGCUAACGCGUGAAGUUGACCGCCUGGGGAGUACGGCCGCAAGGUUAAAACUCAAAGGAAUUGACGGGGACCCGCACAAGCGGUGGAUGAUGUGGAUUAAUUCGAUGCAACGCGAAAAACCUUACCUACCCUUGACAUGUCCAGGAGCCUGAAGAGAUUUGGGUGUGCCCGAAAGGGAACUGGAACACAGGUGCUGCAUGGCUGUCGUCAGCUCGUGUCGUGAGAUGUUGGGUUAAGUCCCGCAACGAGCGCAACCCUUGUCGUUAAUUGCCAUCAUUCAGUUGGGCACUUUAACGAGACUGCCGGUGACAAACCGGAGGAAGGUGGGGAUGACGUCAAGUCCUCAUGGCCCUUAUGGGUAGGGCUUCACACGUCAUACAAUGGUCGGUACAAAGGGUUGCCAACCCGCGAGGGGGAGCCAAUCCCAGAAAGCCGAUCGUAGUCCGGAUUGCAGGCUGCAACUCGCCUGCAUGAAGUCGGAAUCGCUAGUAAUCGUGGAUCAGCAUGUCACGGUGAAUACGUUCCCGGGUCUUGUACACACCGCCCGUCACACCAUGGGAGCGGGUUCCGCCAGAAGUAGGCUGCCUAACCGCAAGGGGGGCGCUUACCACGGCGGGGUUCGUGACUGGGGUGAAGUCGAAACAAGGUA